rnacentral:lncRNA from 1 species
CCUUGGCAGGUUGGCCUGCAGCCUCGGGCUGCCAUCGUCCUUGCCUGUGAGCAAGCAUGCAUGUUCACCUUGGGGCCAGGCGCACCUGCCUGCUCCUCCUGGCUGCCGUCUCGGAAUCUCCACACUUGGAGGGCUCUCCCACUUGCCAGGCCUCUCCAGCUGCCUCCCUAGUGCCCAGAGCUGGGACGUUAGCUGGAAGAGGAGGCUUAGACUUUGGCUGAAAGCAGCAGAAGGAGCCAUGCAACAGGAGGAGCUGCUUCUGGAAGGAGCAGCAGCCCUGGCCACAUAGCCCCUGCUGAGCACAGUGAGUUCCUGCCUGCCAAGAGGUAAGGGUGGUCUGCUGCGCCUUU